GAUGAAGAACGUAGCGAAAUGCGAUACGUAAUGUGAAUUGCAGAAUUCAGUGAAUCAUCGAAUCUUUGAACGCAUAUUGCGCUCUCUGGUAUUCCGGAGAGCAUGCUUGUUUGAGUAUCAGUAAACACCUCAACUCCCUUUUCUUUUUUGAAAUUGGAGCUGGACUUGAGUGAUCCCAACGCUUUCUUCCAAGAAAGUGGCGGGUUGCUUGAAAUGCAGGUGCAGCUGAACUUUGCUCUGAGCUAUAAGCAUAUCUAUUUAGUCUGCCUAAAAAACAGCUUAUUACCUUUGCUGCAGCUAACAUAAAGGAGACUAGUUCUUGUGCUGACUGAUGCAGGAUUCACAGAGACAGCUUCGGCUGACUUUGUAAACUCGAUCUCAAAUCAAGUAAGACUACCCGCUGAACUUAAGCAUAUCAAUAAGCGGAGGA
rnacentral:misc_RNA from 1 species